rnacentral:lncRNA from 1 species
UUUUCAUUUUAGUACCCUAUGGUUUAAAGUGUAUCAAGUUAGUACCAUGUGGUUUCGCACUUUCUCACUUUAGUACCCUGAGAUUUCAAGUGUAUCAAGUUAGUACUCUGUGAUUUUAUUUUUGUAUCAAGUUAGUACCCUAUGGUUUUAUUUUUCUCUGAGUGAAAUAUUAAACCCCAGGAUACUAAAGUGAGAAAGUGCGAAACCACAGGGUACUAACUUGGAUACAGUUUAAACCAUAAGGUACUAAAGUGAGAACGUGCGAAACCACAGGGUACUAACUUGAUACACUUUAAACCACAGGGUAUUAAAGUGAGAAAAAAUGAGACCACAAGGGGGUUUUUGAAGUUUUCCCUAUAUUAAAAUCACUUCUAGGCUUCUUGCUACAAUAGAAUCAAGCAUCAAUUGCAGCUUCCUGACUUGGGCCUCAGAAAUCCCACUUCCACUUUUUUGUGAUGCAGCAAUAGCUUUAAAUUUGUCUAUUUCCAAAUCUGUAAUAAAAAUUACUGCAGCAAAAAUCAGAAGCAAAAGUGAUGUCAUAUUGCUACUACUAUAGUUUGUAUUGCUGUUGCAAAAAUAAACUUCCCAAAAACCAUUAUAUCUGCACAUUAAUUUUAGAUGGGGCAUCACUACAAGCUGGUUGAAAAUUAAUACUCUGCAAUUUAUGACAACCAAGUGAAAUUAAGAGCACUAGUCAAAAGAUCCUUCCAUACAUGCAUUAUAAUGCUGAGAACAAGAGCACAAAAAAAUGAUUGGAGAGAGAAAGAAACCUUCUAGUCAGAUAUACAUAAGAAUACAACUUACAAAUUAUUGCAGAGGCAGUGCAUGACAAGCGAGAAAACAGCAAGAAAACUAUUCAUUUUAUUAAAGAGGAAAGAAGCUUGAGUUGUUCAUCUAGUACUACUCACUUAAGAGGUUCUCCACUGCAACUCGAUUUGAAUCCGCCCGUUUUUGGAGUCGAUCAGAUGGUAUUUCUCGUUGAUUCGCUUGUUGCUGACGACGUCUGCGAGGCUGAUGACUACAUAACCCAGAGUUUCCUUCAACAGGCCAAAAAAGUACACUCAGAUUAGUGUUGAGGUAUUGCAUUUACCGGGGAAGCUCGAGUUCAAAUUAGUGUCAGGGUAUUAUACUAUAAUGAUCGCUUAGUAAAGUGUAUGAUGAGUUAAUUAGUGGUCGAGAAACAUUUUGUUCAAGGUAUGAAAAGGAAAGUCGAGUUGUACGGAAUUUAAGACUAAGGUAGCACAUCUAUCCUCAUUGAUUUUCUCAUACAGACCAUGCUGAGAAGUUAACAGUAACUACACUGGAAAAAGAUAUCAGCAGCCUUUGAAAGAUCUUGUAUACACAUAUUAAGACAUUUUAUAUCGAAAUGUGAAAAUGCCCAUUAAAAAUGGUAUAGAAAAUAAAAGAAAGAUUUUGUAGGUACCUUCGAGUGUAUGCCGAUACUAGGUGGCCUGCUAAGGACUUCCACAUGCAUCUUAUCAUUAGUAGGUGGCUCUUCGCACAUGAACUGGAACUCCUCUUCCCAACGUGGAUCUCUGUUUUUCUUAAUGCACUGCAUCGAUUAGAGUAAAGAAGUCAUGUAAUUUAGUAGAUAUAAUCGCAAUACACAGGUUUGGUACGUAUAGGAAUGACGACGAUACAUACCUUAGUCUUUCUCUCCUCUCCUCUGAAAAGGAUUCUCACAUACGGAUUCGUAUGAUGCUUUCCUUCGAGAUCUUGAGCUUCAUGAACAGCAACUACAAGCAAACCACCACCAGCUGGUGUACCCUCAGGAGCCUUUUCGAUUACGUCAGUACCAUCACUAGUAUCAAUUUCGCUAUCACCUUCCUUGAACGGCUUGAAUGUGAGUUCUACGACUAAUUGUCCGCGCGACUUGUCAUUCUGUGGAUCAUUAGGAUCCAGAGUUUUGAGCAAGUCGAGCGUAAAAGAUCUCGUCUCAUCAGGAGUUAGAUCUUUUAAUGGAACAACAUUCAUGCCCAUUUUAUCAUGCUUCCCAACCUGCGGUUAAGAACGCAUGUUUAUAUGAAAUUGUACGAGAACCAAAUGAAAAUGUUUAUGUACAUAAUCGGGUUGAGAUGAGAAAGUCCGUAUAACCUGUUCCCAGUCAAAAACAUCGAAUUCCACAACUUGAGAUUCCGGGUCUUUCACUACCAACUUGAACUCUUCGUUCCACUCGGGAUUAAGAUUGUUGCGCUUUACAGUCGUCUUCUUUGACGGAAGCUUAUCAUCGGUUAGCUUCAAUUUGACAUACGGAUCAGCUUUACCCAUAAGAUCUUUCUUUUUCAGCUUACAUCCUCGGACAACAUUGACAUGUAGAAUACCCACGGGCUUCUUCAGGGCUCUAGAAGUUCCAUGCAGUAUAUUGUGUGAUCAAUUGCUACACUCAAUGUAAUGAUGUUUCCAAAAAAACAAGAAAGAAAAAACGAAAAGAGAGAGAGAGAGAACAUGACAUUACUUUGUUGGAUCCAUAAUUGGCACUUCUAGGACCUUAGGCCAGAGAUACAUAUUUGCUACCUGUUUCUUGAUAGUCUCCUGAAAAAAAAACACACAUAUUAGAGAGAGAGAGAGAGAGAGAGAGAGAGAGAGAGAGAGCGCUACAGCAUAAGGCAAAUAUAAUUUUCUAAGAGAGUAAUAGGUGUGCACAUCUUUGUCUUAUAGGAGAUACAUCGCUGACUAAUAAAAAAUCCAAAGAAUUUGCAUAUGGUUUACAAGAUGCCAUCAUUGGCGAAAAGCACCGUGAAUCUGCAGCAGUGUUUCCAACAGCUAAUUUCGACCAAAACAAAGUGAAUAAUAGAAACUACCAAUUCUGAAAAGCAAUUUCAUCCAUAGGAUUUUAAAUCCUAAAUAAAUGUUUGUCAGUUGUUUCCAUCUACUUUAACGAUUAUAAUCUAAUGAUCCUUAUAGACUUCUCAAAGGAGUGCACAAUCUCAAUUGUUAGUUGCAAGAAGCUGUAUCAUGCAAAAUUGCAGAAGAAAUGCGAAGAAAACAUCUUUAUUUCAGUUGUAUAACAAGUUGCGAGCAAAGUAUAUUCUUCAAGUAGUGUUAACUACUAAUUUGCUAAAAAUAUAUACUAGGCAGUAAUAGGUGCGCACAUCUCUGUUUCCUGUUCUAAAUGUGGAUUACCUGAUCCACAAUUUGAAUCUCAUUUUUCUGAUGCGUCAGGACUCUGACGAAGUUCAAUUAACAAAGGUACUAUCAGGUCAAUUGAAAUCAGUUUUCCAAUUGCACGAGUAAAUAAUGACAAGCUUUCACUAGAAUAUUAAGGAAUUUGUAUGUUUUCUACUUUGUAUUCUCACAGGAUCAUCCCAAAGUCCAUGCAAAUAAAUAAAUAAAUAAAUAAAUUCGACUGAGGAAAAUGAAAAGAGAACCUGAACAAAUCUGUAGAGUCCAGGAAUCGACAUGACAUCUGCUCCCAGAAGUUUUAGACCAAAGUCAACAUGCGGCUGCAGAAGCAAAGCCAAUUGCCGCAGAUUAAAAUGCUAACAAAGCACUUUAGUCGGGAGUAGAAGAAAUGAGUUUUCCUCAUUUAUACUUACCUUUUCCAUGAGAGAUACAAAGAUAUUAGCAAAACAAGGAAAGCUAGGAACCAACGGCUUCAAUGUAAUGCGCGGUACAGCAAAGACUUGCAAAUCUACCACCUAAAAAUCAUCAAUUUGAAACAAUAUCAACUCCAACUUACAUUUUAAAAUUUUUGAAAGGCUAUUUGGCGACUCAUUCUUCAUGACUCAUGUAAUUCAUGAAAAGUCAAACCUGUGCUGUUGCUUUCAACCCAAAUGCCUUGACAGCAACAGUUAUGUUAGGAUUUCCCGCCCAUUUGAUCGACGGUUCCAUGAUAAGCUCCUUCUCCUCUGUGAUGUAAACCUUCAUUCCUGGCCAAAAAAAAAAAAAAGAUGAAAAAUCAAAUCCUGCUAAAGCUAAUGACGAUUAAACCAUAAAUCAUAAGCUCCAAAAUAAAAUGCAACAUGCAAAGCAGAGAACAACCAACAAAAUCAUGCACUUAAUACGUUCUGGUGUCUCCAUAAGAGAGUGAAUUUAAUAUUUUUCUAUGGAACAACAAUAUUUCAGCACGAGAAGAGUCCAUUUUGCACACAAUUUUAUUGACAACAAUAUAGUUGAAAUAUGCAAUGUUAAAACUAACCUUGAAAUGUUGGUGGCAAAGAACCUAAUGUUAAGGUCUCAAAUUCAACUGAUUCAAUUUUGUAUUUCACAGUGUUCUCAGCAAUAAUCGGCUUAGCAAUUUCCUUUGCAGUUCUGCAGAUUGCCUGCAAAAGUGCAUGGAUAAGUAGUGGAACAAAAAAGAAAAAAAGGAUUUAUAUUCACUUGCAAAAUUUAUGUAAAAACACACUAAAGUUUUCCACAUACGGACCUUAUCAAGAUAAGGCCACAUCUGUUCAAUAAACUUGUUCAGCCAGUCAAUCUUCAGUAAAAGUGAGCAUGGAGUUAGUUGCACGAAUCACAAGAAUAGUUACUCAAUUUACCACGAUAAUGCAAUAUUGCUCGACUUCUUGAGCAAUAAGCAUAUACGUACUCUAUCAACGUCCGGAUUUUUCACCCAAUAAGGUAUUUCAGGAAGCAUACGCUGCAAAGAUUUCUCAUCUAGUUCAACAAGUGGCCUAACAACGGGAUCCUGUCAAAUCAUUAUAAAUACAAAAGGUUCGUAAGAAUCAUACAAUCUACCAAAAAUACUUCAAGAACUGUUACAAAAAUGUUGUUAACUCAACUAAUCAAGUCAAGUAAUUAGCCAGGAUAUCAUGCGAUGGAUGAAAUCACGCACAUAUUAUGAAGAACAGCACAUAUUAACCAUUGAAUUCACUGUCUACAACAUAAUGCGCAACUUAUAAGCAAAUCAAAAUCUGUGACAAGCACAGUAAUCACAUUAAGCAGGCUUUUCUUUUUCAAUGUGCUCGUCCAUUAAUCAACAAUUGAUUCUUAUUUCCUCUUGCUUAUUAUAAGACUAAAUGGUUACAAUUUAGACAAGCAUCCCAAACUAUUUCCCAAACUAUGCUAAUGGUGAGGUCUAGGUCGAGAUGUAUUUUGCCUUGUUUUGUCACAAAGUUUUCUUAAUAUUAUCAAACCUAAUACGCUGUAACUCUAACAGAAGAGCAAAGUAUAUCUGCAAGCAAUGGUUAUCAAAAGUGUCUAUUAUUUUUCUCUACAUGGCUUUUAAAGAAAAAAAAAAAAAAAAAAAAAAAAAAAAAACUAUAUGGCUUUAAAAAGGGUUAUUAUUACAUCUUUCUUAUUUUCGCAAUAAUCUAUCAGGCUACAAGUAGAGACCAAAGAAGUGUUUAUAACAAUUUAAUAGGCACUCAUAGUAUUGCUUAAAAAUACAUCAAACUGUGUCUUACUCAACAAAGCGAAAGAUUAGUUAGAUACUUUCUGUUAGAUAUAAGAAAAAUUAAACAGGCUGGUCGUGAAAUUUGUGUGCAAAAUUCUCCAACUGAAGAAACAGUUAUUGAUUUUUAAAAGUUACAACAAAUUUUUAAACAAUUUGAUCAAUAACCUUUUUCUUUGUGAACUAUGUAAUAUUAGUUUGUGAAGAGAAUUGUGCUUCAUUGAACAACAACAUAAACUUUUGCAUCAUUUAAACAAAUAUAUCACUUAAUCGCGAUCACUGCAUCCAAUUACGCAAAUUAUUUUGCGACAUAACAACAAAUUUAUGAACAAUUGUGAUCUGCUUGAAAGAUAAAUUUUACUUAAACAUUACAUAUCAGAAGGAAAAGUUAUCAUUAUAUUCUCUUGCAUUUGGCAUUACAAAACCACAAUUAACCAAAAAAAGGGGCAAAAACCAAAUUUUUUUUUUAAAAAAAACAAGAACAGAAACCAAAAUUUCUUUUAAUUUCAGAAUCAAACAGAACAAGAUAUUAGCCAAGAAAAAUGGGAAAAAUGUUACCUUUACAUCAGUGGGUUGGAAGUAGAUGAAGAGGUAAUAACCCACAACAAUCCCCAGAGAAACCCCAAUGCCGAAUCCAAAGAAACCCAAUAAAGUGCUAAAAAAACCCAUCUUUAAUCCCUCUCUAUAUCACCCAAAUCUCCCACCACCCACCCCCCAAAAAAAAACCCAAAAAUCCCUGUAAAACAAAUUAAAAAAGAGGAAAAAAAAAAGGAUUUUUUUACAAAAUUAAGAAAGAAAGAAACGGUUGGGGAAAGGGAAAGGAGGGGUUUUGGAAAUAAGUAAAUGCGAACCAGUGAGCAUUAAUGUGUGCGAAGGAGGCUUUUUUGGGGCGUUUCCCACAAGAGGAAUUAAUGAAGGGGUAGCAAUAAUAAUAAUAAUAAUAAUAAAAUGAAAAAUAAUAAAUGAUAAUAAUAAUAAUAAUAAUCAUAAUAAAGAGAGGGGAUGGGGAGAGACCCCAUUUGAGUAUAAUUGUGAGUGUCGGUAAUGUUGUAAGAAGAGAGAGAAAGAGAAGGAAAGAGGGAGAGAGAGAGAGAGAGAGAGUGUGUGUGUGUGUGUGUGUGUGUGUGUGUGUGGUGAUAGUUACUCUUGCAAAUAUCAACCACCCCAGCUUAUUAUUUCCAAGUUUUUUUAUAUGAUUUUAAAUUAAAUUAAACUACCAAAUUUGGUAACUAACUUAAUGUGCCUUUUAAUUAUUUUACAGUAACUAUCUUUCCAUUUUUAAUAUUUCCUCCUCAAUCUUUAAUUAUAGUUAAAUAACAAAAUAAGAUUUUUUAAGUAUAAAAGUAAAAUUUCUAAUUUAGAGCUUGAGAUAACAAUCAUUAACUUAGUCCAAUAAUAAUAAUAAUAAUUAUUAUUAUUAAGGUGAGAUUUUUGGGAUCUGCAAUAAUUGGACCUAAAAUAUCAAGAGUAAAAUAAGGUGAAAAUGAAAGGGGAUAAGAGGAAACAUGUGAGCACUUUGAUUGGUUUGAAAGGGUCCUCUCUAGCAACUUGUUUGUCAUUAUUAUUAACAGCUCAAUAACUAUAUUAUAGGAUCCCAUAGGGGAAGGGAUUUUGAAAGCCUCCCCAUUACCACAAAUCAUCUGGAGAGAGACUCGUUCUAUGUUGUGGCACUAUAGUCUUUGUCCCACCCAAUAGGUUGCUGCCCGUAGGGAUGUCAACGGGUCGGAUCGAGUGUGACUUUUUCGAAAUUCGAAUCCAAACUCGAAUUCAAAUCCAAUUAUAAAUUCAAAAUUCAAAUUCAAAAAAUAUGCAUGGUGAUAAAAUAACUGGAAUAAAGUUAUGCUGAACAAUUGGUAUCCAUCAUUACUAUCUGGUAUAAUUGGUUGGUAUCUGUUAACUAUAAAAAUAUUUAAACAUCGUUCUCUAACAGCUUAAGCUUUUAGAGUACAGCAGUUGUCUCGCAGGAAGUCCUGAGUUCGAGUCACGCCAGGCUCCUAGCAUAAUUAAUUUCCUCCCAUUUAAUUCAAGUCCACGUCAUGGGCCUUGCAAAAAGUCUUGAGCCCAGCCGUGAGGGGGAGUGUUUUUUUCUCUCUUUUUUUUUUUGAGAGAAAUAGGUAGCACGCUACACGCUUCGUUUAUUUAAUUUAGAAAUAAAUUUAGCUGGAAAUGUGAAUCAACUAGGAUUCGAAUUUCAGUUAAAUAUAAAAAUGUUUAAACAUCAUUCUCUAACAGCUUAAAAUUUUAGACUACAACGGUUGUUUCACUGUAUCUCAAUCGCCAACCAUGAGGUAAGGAGUUGAUUUUUUUGCAUAUGCCUUUGUCAAGGUAAAGAUUUAGCCUUAGUGGCAAGGUGCAAAUUAUGGAAUUACAAAAUAUUGCAUUUUAUUAUUUUGUAAUCCAUAAAAGUGGGAUAAGCAUGUUUCAAAUCCAUUGACUUUUUAUUAAACAAGUAACUGUGAAACGAUAGUUUUCGCGAAAUCUUCCGUUGAACUAAAUAUCAUUUUUAGCUAAACAUCAGUUACAAGAAAAUAGGCAAAUUUACCUUCUUUCUUUAGUGCUUUAAGGUGAUUAUUUGAAAUCUCUCUUGCUGGGAAAAAUUCAUUUAUUUUUGGCCUCAAAUGGUGUCAACUCCCUUGGAUUAGAUAUAUAGGAGAGUUUAAAAAGUUAAGUGUUCAUCGGCACGGACUCUAUCUAUCAUGCUAAUAAUAUAUCAGUACGAUUUGCUCCAAUGAUACAAUUCAAAAUCAUCUUUUCUUAAAAUUAGUAAGUUAUUUUUUCAAUCAAAUUUAAAAAAUUUGAUAAGACUAAACAAUUAGAAUAUUUUACUGCUAAAUAAAAUAAAUAUUUUAUUUCAUUAUACGUCGACAUAUAUGCGUUUUUUUUUUUUUUUUCGUAAUGGGCAUAUAUUGGCGUAACAUAACAUGCACUAUAUCGUAUUGUGCCAGUAAAUUUUCAAUACGAUUUCAUGCCUCGUCAUUCAGAUUCUUUGGAGGGAUCUCAUUCCAUUUAAAGCAUUGAGUAUGGGAUAUUUAGAUUUCUCCACAUGGCUAUCACCAUCAACAUUACUGAUCCUGAUAGCAACCAUUGUCCAUUGAAGGGAAUUCCAGAACCCUUGUUAUCGCAAUUUCAAAAUUUACAGAUGAUGGAGAGGACCACCCAACUAAUUAUUAUUAUUAUUAUUAUUAUUGAGAGAGAAAAUUAGGAAGUUAACUGCUUCAUUCACUUUUUUCUUAAAAACAAAUUAAGCUAGAAAUUUAAAAAUAUAAACUAACUAAGCUUCAAACUUAAAACCUCAUGCACCUACCAUCAAAUCUAUUUUUUUGGAGAGAUAGAUAGCACGCUACCCGCUUCGUUUAUUUCAUUUAAAAAUAAACUUAGCCGGAAACGUGAAUCAACUAUGAUUCGAACUUAGGUCUCGGGUACCAAUCACCAAGCCCUUCGCCACUUGCUCUAGGAACAGUCGGUACCAACCAUCAAAUCUUAAAAAUGUAAAACAACUGAGUUUGGAAUGUGUUAAUAUAGCAUUUUGAUGUGUGGUCAAAGUGGCAUCUGUUUCUUUCUUCUGCACUCAAUGAAAAGCAGGUAACACUCAUAGCAUUGAGCCAUUGACAGAUAGCCCAAGAGCCUGAAAUUAGCUGAAUGUCACAUUCUUCUUAAUUUCCCAGUUAUUUUUUUCAGCAAUGACAAUGCAGAAGAAGAGUAGAAGAGAAGAGUUUGUCUCCUAUUCUAAGUUGCAUAGAGUAAUCUGUUGUCGCAAUACAUAGCUAUACUUAUUUAUACAUACGGUCUUUUGCUGUCACUUAGGGCUCGUUUGUUUCACCAAAGGUGAAGUUCAGAGUAAAGUGGACUUUCGGAUAACUAAACUUUAGGUAAAAAUAACGUUUCUCUUGUUUAUGUAGUUGUGGAAUUAAAUUUUUUUUAAUUCUAUUGUUUAUUUGACAGAAAAUAAAUGACAUAAAAGUGGGCACGGGAGAGAUGGAUUACUAUGUUUUUACUUUUUUGUUUUCGUUUUUCACUUUAGCAAGGAGUGAGCCAAAUACAAUUACGCUAUUUUGGGGAGUUUGAGAUUCGACCAAAAGAACCAAACUACGAAAAUAAAUAUUUACAGUCAAAAUAUUAUGGAUAUAGUCCCCAGACAAAAUUAUUAGGGGAUUGUUCAGAUGGGCACCACAUGGCGAGUGGCGCCCAUCCCAAUUACCAUCCAGUAAAAUUUUUUUUUAAUUUAAUUUUAAUCUAAUAAAAAUAAUAUUUUUAUUGAACGAUUGGAAUGGACGCCACUCAUCAUGUGGUGCCCAUUUGGAUGAUUCUAAAUAAUUUUGUUUGGAGACUAUGUCCAUAAAAUUUUUUUUUUGACGGUGAAACGGACAAAACCAUAUCUUCACGUGUGUUCUUACUAUUACAGUCGAGACUUAUGAACCUCACAUGCAUGCCUGCAGCAAUGCUGUUAAUAUUUCAUCCGCAUAAAAUGCAGACACCACAUAAAAUGCUCACAGGACACUUGUAAAGUACUUGGACACUUGUAAAGUACUUGUGACAUAAAAUGCUCACAAGAUGCUUGUGAGGGUGUGUUUGGGAGUGGCUUCUUUGUUCUAGAAAAUGGCAACAUAUUAUCACCUCGUUCAUUUUUUCAAUAAGGGAAAAUUUUAAAUACCCCCUAUGGUUUUACUUUUUCUCACUUUUAUACUAUAUAGUUUAAAGUUUAUCAAGUUAGUACCAUGUGGUUUUGCACUUUUUUACUUUAGUAUCCUGUGGUUUAAAGUGUAUCAAGUUAGUACCCUGUGGUUUCGCACUUUCUCACUUAAGUACCAUGUGGUUUCGCACUUUCUCACUUUAGUACCCUGUGGUUUAAAAACUAUAGGGUAUUAACUUGAUAUAAAAAUAAAAUCACAGGGUACUAACUUGAUACAAAAAUAAAAUCACAGAGUACUAACUUGAUACACUUUAAACCACAGGGUACUAAAGUGAGAAAGUGAGAAACCACAGGGUACUAACUUGAUACACUUUAAACCACAGGGUACUAAAAUAAAAAAGUACAAAACCACAGGAGUUUUUUUUGAAGUUUUCUCUUAUUUUUUUACCACUUACAUUAAAGAGAGUAGAUAAGUGUGUUUGAAAGUUUGGCGCAUUUAUAUAAAACUAGUCUAGCAAUCCGCGCGAUAUAACGGAUAAAAAUUAUAAUAAAAAUUUAUAAAUUAAAAAUAAAAAAAUAAAAAUAAAAAUAUGAUUGGUUAAUAAUAUAAAAAAUAUAUUAGAUUAAAUUAGAAUGAGAAUAGAACUCAGAGGAGAACCAAAAAAGAAAAUGAAAAGAAAACUAUAGGAAAAUAAAAAUUGUUGCAUAGAUAGGAAUUUUAAAAAAAAAUUAAUGCAAGAAUAAAAAAGGAAGAAAAAAAAUUCUGGAGGUGAUUUCGUUGAGGUUGGUUUUGUUAUUCGAUGAAUUAUAACGGAUUUCGAUUUCUUCUUUUUUACAUCAAAAUCAAAUUAAAAAAAGUAAUUAAAAUAAAAUAAAAUUAGUAAAGAAAUAAAUAGAGGGAAAAAAAUAUUUUUAAAAUUCAUUGAAAUAUAAAAUCUCACCUGAAAGAAGGCUUUAGAUUCAUAACUCAAAAUCAAAUCAAAAUUGUAAAAAUUAGUAUUUAGAAAUAAUUAAUAAUAAUUUGGAACCUAUAAAUAUUAUUUUAAUUCUCAAAGAUAAUGUAUCGAAUAGCUGGCGUGCAUGGUAAGCAAUCAUGAUGUCGCAAUAUCCAAACAAAUGAUAUCCUUGCAGACCUCUUCCUAAAUCCAAAAAAAGAAUCUCAUAUUAGAAGAAUUUGAUUAAAAAGCAAAAAAAAUCGUAGGAAGAUAAAGAGAAAAUUUUAGAAUGUCGAUGAUGAAAUAGUCGAAUUAGACUUCAAAGGCGACAAAGGAGGGAGGUUUGAAAGGAGAUAACAUAGGGGGUCGUAGUGAAACUUCUUGGCAUAGCAGCGAAUGCUCUAGCAAUCUGUACCACAUCCACAAAAAAUUACAUCAUCACCAACUCCUCCGUUAAUGGGGAGAGAGAGUGUGAGGAUGAUGAAGAAGAUGAAAACGAAGAUUUAAGAUAGAAAUCUACACUAUAAUGCUAUGAAGUUUGGAAAAAUAUAAGUCUAUGUAGAAAUCUACACUUUUAAAUUUAGAAUGUAUAUUUUGAAAAAGUAUGAAGGUUUUGAAAAAAUAUGAAGAGUACGGAGAUGAGAGAGUGUACGUUUUGAAAAGCAUGAAGUGUGGAGAGAUGAGAAUGUGUACAUUUUGAAAAGUAUAAAAGAUGGGGAGAUGAGAUAGUGUAUGUUUUAGAAAAAUAUGAAGGAAGGUGAAGUGUUAUACGUUUUGGAAAAAGAUGAGAAUAUGUCGAGGGAGGCAAAGGGGUAUACCUUUUUGGAAGAGACGAGGGGAGUGUACGAUGAGGGGGAUGGAAUGGUGGAGCCCACAACCCAAACAACUUAAGUGAAGAAAAUAUCGUUACGUGGCAUAUUUUAUUGGAGAUUAAUAUAAUAGUAGAUGGAAAGAUGGAGCUCACAACCCAAACAACUCAAGUGAAGAAAAUAUCUUCACGUGGCAUAUUUUAUUAGGGAUUAAUAUAACAGUACAGAUAGAUAGUAUAGAUUACUGAGUUACAUCCUAAAUUUAUGUUUUGAUCUUUUUUAUUAAGUUAUGUAGUUUUUUAUAAUAACAUAACUAAAUAUUCAUAAAAUUAUAUUAUAAUUUGUUUAUAUUUUAAAAUAAAAUAAAUUAUUUUUAGCCUAAUAAAUUAUGGCCAUCAACACAUUAUUAUUAUUAUUAUUAUUAUAAAAAAUUAAAAUCAAACUACUAUUAAGAGUGUUUAGGUACAAAGCAUAAACUAUCACUGAACUGCUUAAAACUUUUUAAUAAAAUAUAACAAUAAUAUAAUAUAUAAUAAAAUAAAAUGAAACUCGUAGCCCCCGAUCCCGUCCCGAGUGUCGCGGCCCCAAACGAGCAAAUCCGAUGCCGCUAUAAAAACGAGCACCACCCGCGCGCGCCCCCUCCGACGCUCUCGUCCACCUCAAAUCCAAGCCCUUCCCCUUCACCUUCCUCGACGCCCCCGCUCGAUUUGGUAACGAUCUCUUCCUCCUCUUCCUCCUCCUCCUCCUCCACUUGUCACAUGCACUGCACAUCUCCCUUUGAUUGCUCUCGUACACUCUAUUUGGGAUCGGAUUCUAUGGAUUGGGCAUUUGAGGUCGGGAUCUGUUGUUUGGGAUUAAUGUGGCUUGAUUUGAAUCCUAUUGCUUAUGUUUAUGUUUAAUCUUUAGCUAUGUGUCUGUUGAUGCUGAAUCUAGGGGGAAUUGGAAAUGAUUAGUAAUUUUGUGAACUCGAGUGGAUUUUGGAACAAAUGUGAUUUGUUUUGGAAUCUGUUGUUUAUUUUGCUCUUUGAUUCUUAGUCUUGUAACUAAAAUGGAAUUUUUGGAUGCUUACGGUUUUCCUAUCCUUCAGAAGCUUAAAUCAAAGUCAGAAUCUCAAAUCAGGGUAAAUCGGAUCUCAAUUUGAUUCAAAUUGUUUCAUUUUUCUUUUUCCACAGCAAAUCGGUUCUUACAUUGUCCGACUUACUUAACAUUAUUGAAAUACAUCCAAAUUGGACGAAAUAGUUAAAAUCAUGGACCAACGAGCUUCCAAACAAAGGAAUCGAGAAAAAAAGUGAAGUAGAAAACCAGCGAUUUGUAUGGAGCAAAAACAAUAUUUUCUUUAGGUGCUUCAAAUCCUAGAAUUUUAUAGAGUUAGAAUUGUAGUUGUUCUGAAUCUGUUGUUUGGACUGGUCAGUUUAUGAGGUGUUAAUUGGUUCACAAGGAUUUUAUGGAAUUUCUCAUAAUAUGAUCAAUUCGUCACAUUUGAGGUAGGAUUUGGUGAGAAUUUAUAGCCAUUAUAGUGAUACAAGCACUAAAUAUCCCUUUGAUAAACUAGUUAUAUAUUCUUUCUUUAAAUAGUUAUAUUAUGAUAUGACAACUAAACACAUUCAAGUGAUUCUCUAUUUUUUUGGCCCAAAUAACAACACGGACUAGAAUUUCGGGUAAACUCCAAUUUUCCCAAACAAAAAAGGGGAGGAUUCUAAAUGACUUAUACUGAUUCUGUUAAGCUGAACUCCUUUUAGUUCUAUUUCGAUUUGGUUCCGGACAUAGUGUAGUCUUGCUUAUCUGCAGAAGUGAAGCAAUGCCAAUGGGAUUGAUUUCUUUGAUUGUGAUCCUUUUCCAGCUGUUCCAAUUGACAGCUCUGGGAUUUGUGGUUCUUUGCAUGUUGCCGACCCGAUAUACGCUUGCUCACCCCUUCAGAAUGUCUGGAGUAGCUCCGGGGGAGGAGAUGCGGCGAAGUUCGUGCUGAUCUCGAGAGGCCUUUGCAGCUUUGAGGAAAAGGUUAGGGUUGCCCAGGAAGGUGGAUUCGAUGCGGCAAUCAUCUACGACGAUCAAGAGAAGAGCAGCUUGUACUCAAGUAAGUAGAUUUGUUUGUAUCCUAGUAAAUGUAACGGAUACUGAGUUCCAAAGAAUUGGUGAAAUUUUUCAAGCUGUCUUGAAGUGGAUUCUUGUUUCUGAUAAAUGAUGAUAAAAAAGGGAGGCAUUUUUUUUAUCAGAUGUUUUCUGCCUUUCCCAAUUUCAAUUCUGGUUAUUGAAAGACCUAAGGGCUUGAUUAAAUGUUCCUGAACUUUUUGUAUUGUGAGAUUAUUAAUUCUUCCACUAUUUCUACUUCAUACAUGACUUUUAGUUUCUUUCCACUAACCUAAUUUCAAAAUCUGUUUUUACCUUAGUGAUAGGGAACACUGAGGGUAUAAACAUACAUGCAGUUUUUAUUUCAAAGAUGGCGGGAGAGACCCUUAAGAAGUUCACAAGGGGUGAAGAUGGGGAAUGCUGCAUAGGCUCUUCAAUUGACGAGACAACUGGGACGGUGUUGGUGAUUUCUUUUGUUUCUCUUGUUGUCAUAAUAUCUGUUCUUGCGGCUUUUCUCUUUGCUCGGAAUUGCCGGCUUCUCCGGCGCGGAGUCCAUAGCCAGCCCACUAGCAUGAAGAGGCAGGCAGUGGAAGUCCUCCCUUGCUUCACAUUCAAAACUGCUUACUUAAAUAGCAAACGAAAUGCAGAGACAUGUGCUAUUUGUCUUGAAGACUACCAAGAUGGAGAGAUGAUCAGAGUUCUUCCCUGCGAACAUGGUAAAUGGAUCUACAAUUCCAUUGUAUUUAUUUAUUUUAAUGAAAAUUUCAUGAAUGCAUAUUAAUGAGAAGAAUAACCAAAUGAUUUAGAGUUAGUUCUAAAUUUAUACUUACGUUCAGAAGUAUUAAGUGAUGGUUAUCUCUUAGGACAAUUGAUGAGGAAUUUCAUAGCCUACUUCUGCUCUGUUGCUGAGCAUCGUUUACAAUAUAUUGGAUAGGAUAGAAUAUUCCAUAAUCCAACAGAAAUGUUCCUUGAUGGCCAUAUCAGAAAUUUUACAAAAGUUGGAACAUUGGAUAGUAGAAUUAAAGCUUCUUAUAUCAAGGUGCAUUGGAAAGAAGUUGAGAGACAAGGUAUUAAGUGAAAGCUGGUAAAACUCGGAUGCCCUAUUUCAAAAUGUACUACAGUCUACAGUUAAGAUAAGGUCUAUACAUCUUAACCUUUGUUUAACUGAUUAUGACUGGAGAUUUUCUUUUUCUGCAGAAUAUCACGCAGUAUGCGUAGACUCUUGGCUUACAAAAUGGGGCACAUUCUGCCCUGUGUGCAAGCAGGAAGUAAACUCUGGAGAGUAAGCUAUCUGAUCUCUUCCAGACCCAUCGGAAUAUUCAUCUGAGAUUAUGGUGAAUAUUUGAACUACUGAAAUGCAACUUCGCUCGUGCGGUUAUGCUGUUCUGAUUCCUCCAGCAAAAUAAUGUUUGCCCUAUCGGUUUCUCUAUCUUUAGAGACCACGGCACUUGUGAAAUUCUACCAAAAAUUUUCACACAUGGAAACUUGGAGAUGGACAGAAAACAGUUGUUUUGAUCCUCCAAGACAAAUCUUUCUGGCCACCCACGGAGAAAAGGAGGAAAUCGAGAUGCCUUUUCUUCUCGAGGUAAUAUCUCUCUAUUUAUUCAUGAAGAUUCGCUCCAAUGUUGCUCCGACUAUCAAAGCAUCUGUUGCAUGUAGAGGAUUGUAGACGCGUGAUCGAUUGCUAUGUUUCCUUUGAACCCCUAAUGUGAUUUUACUGUGAUGAUAGCUUCUGUAUAUACUAUUGAAUCCUAAAGGAGUAUUUUGCCUUCAUUCUGAACAAUCGAGCCGUUCUACGUUGUACGUAUAAUUUAAUGCAGUUGAACUAAUCUGGGAAUUGAUGGCCAUGCUUUUGAUAUGAAGAGUCAUUUUCUUCAUUAUUUUUCCCCCCUUUUUCUUUUCUCUUUUUCUUUUUUUUGAAGAUGAUAUUUUUCUUCAGAGAUCUUCUGGUAACUAUACAAUGUCGAGGCCACUUCUGAUUUAUGUAAUGCAGCAGGUUUAAAUUCAGAGUUUUGUUACUGCUCCCCACACUUUAAUAAUCGUGCCCAGCUGCGUCUUGUGUAUAAUCUAAUAAUGUUUAGAAUAAAAAAUUUUUAUGUAUUUUUGUAAUUUGAGUUAGUGUACUUUAGUCAAAAAAUUUGUUAAAUUUAAUGGCUAAAUUAGUGAUUAAUGGCUAUUUAGAUCAGUUUUAUUUUGCUGUAAAGUGGUUAAAAAAUUGCUGCAACAUUAGCCGAGAAAAAACCAAAGUGAAUUGGGAAAUAGAGGGAAAUUACAAAACAAGGAGCAUGGAAGCAAUUAACAAGGUUGGGCCACUAAAUUACAAUGAAACUAGAUAUAAUUUUAGCUAAAUGCGUUGAUGGAGAUUACGUGGGGCUAAGAAAACUUUCGAUCCACUCCCAAACCACGCAGAAAUCUAGAAUUCACCGGUUAUAUUGCUGAUGUUGCGUCACCAACCAAUUAAAAAAAUAUUUUUAUUGUACUUUUUAUAAUAAAGGAUGUGGUGUGACUGAUAGAUAGUAAAAUCUCUUUCAAACCAUAGUGAGAUAUUGGUGAGCUUUUUGCCGUUAUCAUAGGAAUCUACAAAUUUUUUUCCUUCUGUUUUUCUCAAUAGAAUUUCAGAGGACAUCACAAACUGGAUGGAUUAGAAAAUUUAAGCUACAUCUAACAAAAGCUAUUAAAUUUGACAAAAUUAACAAUAAAUUUGAUGAGGAUUUUAAUUUAUUUGAUUAACAAAAAUCUUUUUGAGGGUUUAAUAGUUUAAUUCAGAAUUUCCUACAGUUGAGGGGGGGGAGCACCUAUUCGACUCUUCGGUAGUAAUCCCGUAGUCCGAGUCCACCAAACCCACUGUGGACCCGUGCACCCCAAAUGCCCUCUCUCUCUCCCUCUUCCCCUUCCACCCCUCCCUCUCCUCCUCCUCCUCCUCCUCCCAAUGUCCAAACCCAAUCUCAAGCCCACCUCAAAUCCCACCCUCCAAAACCCUAACCCUAAUCCCUCUUCUUCGUCUUCGUCGAUCGUGCCUCCUCGCCGCGAUCAGCCACACGUCUCUCGGGCGCCCGACCUCGCCGUUCCCCUCCUCCCCCUCCUCUCCCUCGCUCGGCCUCCGCCCACCUUCCCCUCCUCUCCUCCCUCCUCCACCAACCUCCUCCACUUCCCCAUCGCCGCCCCUCCUCCGCCCCCUGCCUCUCCUCCUCUCCUCCGCCUCUCCUCGCUCCUCCCUCGCUCCUCCUCCCCACGCCUCUCCCCUCUCCUCCUCUCCCUCCUCCUCCUCCUCCGCCGCCCCUCCGCCGCCCUCUCCCUCCUCCUCCGCAUGCCCCGCCCCGACCCCGCCUCCUCCGCCUCCGUCCUCCUCGCCCUCGCCCGCUCCACCGCGCCCCACCGCGCCCUCCCCCUCUACGCCCACCUCCGCCUCCUCCGCCGCAGCACCGGCCCCGCCGCCGCCUCCGCCCUCCUCGUCGCGUGCGCGCGCCUCGCCGACCCCGCGCUCGCCCCGCAGGCCCACGCCCACGUCCUCGCCCUCGGCUUCGCCCCCAGCGUCGUCGUCUCCGGCGCCCUCCUCACCGCCUACGCCAAAUGCCGCCUCUUGGGCCACGCCCGCAAGGUGUUCGACGAAAUGCCCGUGAGGGACGUGCUCGCGUGGACCGCGCUCGUCCACGGCUACUCGACGUCAGGAGACUUGGUCUCCGCGUGCAAGCUGUUCGACCAAAUGCCCAGUAGAAACACUAUAUCGUGGACCGCCCUCAUCGGCGGGCUCAACCGAAACGGCGAGCCCUACGAGGCCUUAGACAUGUUUAGGAAAAUGAUGUAUCAAUGUGUUCGGCCGGAUCAGUUCACAUUUAGCAGCACUCUAUGCGCCUGCGCAGCCACGGCUUCGCUUACGCAAGGAAAGCAGAUCCACGGAUACGUACUGCGAUCAAAAUUCAAUCCGAAUUCCAUAGUGCUGAGCUCUCUCGUCGAUAUGUACUCCAAAUGCGGGGAUCUUUUGCGAGCCCGAUGGGUGUUUGAGCUCACGCAUUACAGUAAAAGGGACACCGUACUCUGGAAUACAAUUAUAUCUGCUUUGGGCCACCAUGGUCACGGAAAAGAAGCGAUUAAGCUGUUCGACGAAAUGGUUAAGUGUGGUAGAAAGCCUGAUGCAAACACUUUUGUCGUCCUCCUCACUUCGUGCAGCCACUCGGGAUUGGUCGAAGAAGGGGUGAGAUUCUUCGAGUCGAUGGCGAAGAUCCACGGUGUUGUCCGCCAGGAAGACCACUACGUUUGUUUGGUCGAUUUGUUAGGUCGAAACGGCCGGUUCAAAGAGGCGAUGGAAUGGCUCGCUAAGGAGCCGUGUAGGUCGAGUGCGCGAGCUCGGAAUGCAUUGCUCGGGGCGUGUAGAGUUCAUGGGAAUGUGGAGCUGGGGAAGCAAGUAGCCGAGCAACUCAUCGAAUUGGAGCCAAAUAGCUCCGCAAAAUAUGUGCUCCUUUCAAAUAUGUAUGCUGAGGAUGGGAAUUGGGAGCAUGUGGAGAAGUUGAGGGGCCUCAUGGAGGAGAGCCAAGUAAGGAAAGAGAGAGCUUCAAGCUGGAUCUAAAGUUUAUAAUGCGGUCCUUUGGUUCCUUUUGCGCCGUAGGAUCUAUUUGGCUCUGCUGUAGAAUGUGGCGCUACUUACUGAAACGCUCUUUGAGCAACACUACCAACAAAAACGCUAUAUCGGACUUGUGCUAACAACUUCAUUUGCAGCAGAAUUAGAAGCCGGAGCUUGGAAGCUCAUUUCAUCUUUCUGUCACAGUAGAAGCUCUAGAAUUUUUUGUCUGCCAAACGCUCUGCUAAAAAAGCUGGAGCUAAACAGCCGAAACCUGAGCAGCGCCAAACGAGCACUCUGAGGAGUUUAGAAGUUCAUUCAGAGAGUUUGCACUACUGUUGCUUUGAAUCUUCUAUUCUUGAUGAUCCGUCCAUCUCUUGAGGAAUGUUUUUGAUUCACGGACCUGCUAACUGCUUUACCAAAUGUACAUUAGCUGUUGUAUAAACCCUUUGAAUUAUUGAUUGUGUUAUAAAUUGUGCAUGUUGAGAUUGAAAAGUAAUUUUGGAAAAAGUUCUUUUCUUACUGUCAGAUUGUUGGCGCUAAAAGUUAAUUCCAAAAGCUCGAGCUAUUAGAAAUACGCAAUCAAUUCACUUAAAGCGUAUAGAUACAGUGCUCACAGGUCUCGAUUGUGACUCGGCUCAACCAACCUCACGCCAUUUCGAACAUGAUUCGACUCACCCAGCCUCACGCCAUUUCGAACAUGACUUGGCUCAACAUGAUCUCCCGCCACAGGGUAGGAUGUUGACCCAUUUAAGCCAACAAUCUCCCCUCCAGUAUCUACACACAUUUACAGCAUGCGGAAAUCGAACCCGUGGCCACUGGUUCUGAUACCACUUGUCGGAUCGUUAGCGCUAACCAUUAAUCCCAAAAGCUCAAGCUGUUAGAAAUACACAACCAAUUCACUUAAAUCAUACAGAUACAGCGCCCACGGGUCUCGAUUGUGACUCAGUUCAACUAAUCUCAUGCCACUUCGAACAUGACUCAGCUCAUCCAGCCUCAUGCCAUUUCGAACAUGACUCGGUCCAACAUGACCUCCCGCCACAGAGCAGGAUGCUGGCCCAUUGAUGCUGGCCCAUUUAAGCCAACACUUACAAUCUAAUUUUAUAUUCAUUUUGUGACAGGUACCCAAAUCUUAAAAAGUUUUAAAAUUACUAACUUGAAAUGUCCAAUAACUUUUCGAUUUCACGAGAAUUUAAUGGAAAUUAUUUGAACUCCAAAAAAGCAAAGAAAGUUAGAUUUAAACACGGUACUAUAUUUUGCAAUAAAUGAGCUCCUGUAUAAAGAUCUCUGAACUUAAUUAAUAUUUGGAAUUUUCUUUUCCAAAUUUUAUCAAAUUGUUUAGUAGAUUCUUCUUUGCAAGCUAAGUUACUAAUCGAGCAAAACCAUUCUUAAUAUAUAUUUUGCAUGUGAUCCUACGAAAUUUUAAAAUGCUGUAACAAUUUGUUUUUUCUAUUCUAACACUUGAAAUAUAAAACUAAAAUAGUAUUGAUGGUGGACAAAGCAUUUUCUGUAACAAUCACACCAGUAAUAAUAUAUAGUUCAUUAAAUAUUUUUUUGAAAAGAAUAUGAUAAAAAUAUUUUUUUUAUGUGUCAUAAUGGGAUGGGAUGGGUAGAUCUGUGAGAGCAGUUGGAGAAAGUAAUUUUUCUCGGAGUUAUUUUUUAUUAGAAGAGAAUAAUUAUACAUAAUUAGAGAAAUUUUUUCUAUUGACGAAAAUAAUUUUUUUAGUGAAAAUUUCACAGAACAUAUAGGAAUUAUGCAUCAUUUUGUAUCGGUUAUUCGACUUUUCUUUACUAUUCAAUCUUUUAAUUUAUUUGAUUUGGAUCAGUCAAUGAUAUUUUGACUUUAAAGUUUAAAUUAAGAAUUUUUAUUAAAUUUGUAGUUACGAAAAUUACAUGAAGUAUACUAACUAAACAUGUAGAGAUAAAUGACGCAUUUAAAUUUGAAGUCAAAGUGCCUUGACGGACUAAAAUCAAAUAAGUUUAAGAGUUUGGUAGCAAAAUUAAAAUUUAAAAAAUUAAAAAGUCAACUCAAAAUGAUCCGGUAAGUUAUAUAUAUUCACUUUUUUUUUUAAAUAAAAUGUGCUAAUACCAUAAAAGUUUAUACUUAUCAUCAUAACUUUAAAUAUUUUGUAAUUAAUUAUUUAAAGUUUUGUCGAUUUAAAGUGAUUACUAUACUCAGUGUGUGUGUAUAUAAUAUAGACGACUUUUCGUAAUGCCAAAACUUGUUUUCGUAUGUAAAAUGGAUAAUAAUUUUUAUCUCAUCUAAUUUAUAUAAAGUAAAUGCUAAAAAUUAAUAUUUAUACUAUACUUAUAUUGUUAGCAUGCAUCUUUUAUCAUUUUAUAAUUAUUUGGCUAAUGUUAGUCACUUUAAAUUAUUAAAAUAUUAAUCUAGAUGGUCAACUAUAUAAUUUGAGAAUUUAUGUCAAAAUAUAAAAUUUUGAAGGAUUAGAUGACCAUAUGUAAGUAUGUGAAUUAGGUGGGAAUAAUUAUAAUACAUUUAAUCUUAUUUUAAAGCUGUUAUUUUAAUAUAAAAUUAUUAUAUAAUUUUUAUUAGACCAUUUACUACCUCACUUCUCACAUUGCCCAAUAUAAGGCGGUGUUUGGAACCUGAAAGUGGGGUGUAAGUGGAGAGGAAGGAAAUCGUUUUCGUCCUAAACGGUCAUUUUCGUUGUUUGGUUCGCCGUAAAAAAGUUACGGUCGAAACUUGAGUUAACCUCAAAUGGCAUAAUUCGCUGCGCCCCAUCGUAGGCCGAAGUCAAUUACGGUGAAGAGAGGUAAAAAAUAAUAAUAAUAAUAAUAUAAUAGAUAAAGCUAGUUAUAUUUAAAUAUAUUUAAUUAUAUUACUAAUUAUUCUUUUAUUCAGUUAAUAUAUCUAAAAUAUGAUAAAAAUUGAUUAGUUAAAUUUUAAUAUUUUUUUAUUUAGUUUGUACAUUUAAAAUAUGAAAAAAAAAAUUGAUUAAUUAAGCAUUAAAUUUUUUUAUUUUAUAAUUUUACUUUAUAACAAUAGUUAUUGGCAACUAAGAAAUAUUAUUAGAUGUUUACAAUAGUAUACUAAAUAUAGCUGCAAACUAACUUUUGUAGAAUAAUAAGAUAAAUUAUCUUAUAAAUAAAACACAUAUAUAUUCUAAGAUAAUUAUCUUGUGAGAAUUUUGUUACGAGCCAGAAGUAAACUUUUAAUUGCGAAUAUCUUCUUGAUUUACUUAAAAAUUUUAUAGUAUUUGAUAGACGAGUGGCAACGUGAUCAAGUGAUCGUACUGAACUUUCAUUCAUUUUAUUUUAUAAUAAAAUAUAUGCAAUACAACCAAAUCACGAACACAGUAAAAAAAACAAACUCCUAAUAUCAUUCACACAAAAUUUUGUUAUAAAAAAAAAAAAAAAAAUUAAAUAUACUAGUUUCACAUCCAAUCAGAGGUGAGAGGUACACAGUUUUGUCCUAUUUAAAGCUUUGUCUCCUUCUUAAAUGAUCCCACAAUGGUUGGCAAACCCAUGAGGUAAAUGGUUAAAUGCCCACAAAAGUGUCCCAUGAAUGAUUCUUUAUAGGAAAAACUUUAAAAACCCUCCUUGUGUUUCAAUUUUUUUCACUUUAGUACCAUGUGGUUUCUCACAUUAUCGCUUUAAUACCCUGUGGUUUAAAGUGUAUCAAGUUAGUACCAUAUGGUUUUGCACUUUAUCACUCUAGUAUCAUGUGAUUUUAAUUUUGUAUUAAGUUAGUACCCUGUAAUUUUUUAAACCGUAGGGUACUAAAGUGAUAAAAUGUGAAACCACAGGGUACUAGGAUGAUAAAGUGCAAAACCACAGGGUGCUAACUUAAUACACUUUAAACCACAUAGUACUAAAAUGAUAAAGUGAAAAACCACAGGCUACUAACUUCAUACACUUUAAACCACAGGGUACUAAAAUGAAAAAGUGUAAAACCACGGGAGGAGUUUUUGAAGUUUUCCCUUUUAUAUUAUGUAUUAUUAAUCUUGUUAAUUGAACUAAAUUUUUUAUUUUAUUUAUGCCAAUACAUCAAUAAUAAUAGUAUUAUGUAACAACUGCUCAAAAUUUUCAUAUAUAGAAUAAAAGUACAAGAACAAUUUUUUUUUUGCUUCCACAUUAUUUAUAUAUAUAUACAUAUGAAUUUAUCAUAGUGUGCGCUUUUAAUUAAACUUUUAAUUUCUUGCAUACCUCAAGGGAAAUUGAUCAAGUAAAAAUUCUACAUAAAAUACUAGUUACAAAAUAAAAUAUCUCCUCCACAUCUUGUAUUUUCUGUGGUAUAUUUUUGUAUUUUUUUUUUCCUUUUAGCAACACAUAUCUCUUAAUUUCCUCCAUUAUCUCUAUGUUUGGAGUAGUAGCUUCUCCAUAUAGCUUACCCACAUACCAUACAGUGAUAUAUAUAUAUAUAUAUAUAUAUAUAUAUAUAUAUAUAUAUAUAGAAUUAGACCGGAAUACUAUUAAUAGUAAAACGCUAUUUUUGCUAUCAAAUUUUUAACCCUUGGAUGAAAAAUUGUAUGGUUAGGAUGAUAUUAGUCGGUUAGAGUUGAGUGGUCCCCCUAGGGUUGAGUGGUCCCCACUGGGUUAUAGUAUUUAAUCCAAUGGUUAGAAAUAGUAAAAAGAGUUGAUCCAAAGCUAAAAAACUGGUAGCAACAAUGAGAUUUGCUACUAAUAGUAGCCAGUCCAACUAUAUAUAUAUAUAUAUAUAUAUAUAUAUUGAUUAAGGCUACUAUGCUAAUCGAAGUACGAAACCUUCCGUACUUCCAGCCGUUUUCGAUGUUGCUACUUUCGAUUGCAUCGACUCCGUUAAACUGAUCUAGAUAUUUGAAGUACCUAGAAAAUAAAUUAUGCGAUUUUUGGAUAUUAUUACCUAGUGAACGAAGGGUUCAAAUCAACGGCUGAAAAUAAAAAUCUUACAAAACGUAAUAAUUGACAUUAAAAUUUAUAGAUCCAAGAUAUUGAUCUUGUUUUAUAUAGUAUAAAGAAUUUUCUAUCAAAAUUUCACGUGAUUUGGAUAUUUCUACACCGUUAAACUUGCAAACGGCUCACUACGGCCAGUAAAAUUAUUGAUUUUGAGCCCCUUCGAUCACUAGGCAAAUGAUAUCGAAAAAUUAUAAAAUUUAUUUUUUAGGUAUUUCAAAUAAUCUAGAUCAAGUUUAACGAAGCCGAUCGACGAUUCGAAAGUCGCAACAUCGAAAACGAGCUGGAAGCACGGAAGGCUCCGUGCUUCCGAUAGCAUAGUAGCCUCACACUAUAUAUAUAUAUAUAUCAUAGGCGAUUUUGUAAUUAAUUGGCCCUUUUAACAACUAAUUUUUUAUUUGAGUAUUCUAACUAUUUAAGUUACAAUUUUAUUUAAAUUUAAUGGCUCAAUCAGAUACAACCAAUAAAUUAAUCUAACUUUAUUUGUCACAAAGUAAUAAAACUAUCAAAACAUUUGAUAAAAUCCAUAUUUUUUUUAGCAUUUCUUAAUUCAAAAAAGGAAGGUUUAGGGAAUAGUUCAAGGAGGCUCCAUAUACUUUUACCUAUAAACUACGGAGCUGUAUACCAAAAUAACCAGAUAUAUAUAUAUAUAUAUAUAUAUAUAUGAUAUACAUAUUGAGAUAGAAUGCCCCUGCAAAUAUGUUAUUUUUAAUUUUUUGGUCAUCGGAUAUCACUAGCUAAGGUUUACUAUAUGGAGUUAAGCUCGUGUGCUUUUAAAAGCACAGAAUAUUUUGUGCUUGUGAUUUUUUACCGGUCAAAUCGUCUCAAAAUCUGCAGCAUUCUUAAUGGUGCAUGUUUUCUAUAAAAUUUUCUUUACUGGUAAUGUAUGAAUAUUGAAACAAUUCGACAGUUAAAUAAUUUCAAGCACAAAUACUCUCUUGCUUUUAACAGUACAGAAGCUCAACUCAGUGUUCUAUAGUGAUUCUAUUAUGAAGUGAAAAUCCUACGAGUUGAAAAUAGCUACACUUCCAAAAGCACUUGAGCUGGAGUAUAUGUAUUAUGCAGUUAUGCACAAGCAAAAAGAGAAAGUGGAAUGCAUGCAAAGUUAGAUGCAUAUAUAUAUAUAUAGUGAAUGUGCUCUCAAAAGGGGUAUAUAUAUAUAUAUGUACUAAAUCUGCACCAACACUAUCCCAAUACAACCCCUAGCUCCUCUCCUGUUUCAGGAAAAGGAAAAAACCAAAGGAAGAGACAUGGAAGGGAGAACAAGCUAGAUAUGAUCAAUACUAUAUAUAAGGAAUUAGCAAAAGAAGAGGAGCAUACAUAUAUAUAUAUAUAUAUAUAUAUAUAUAUAUAUAUAUAUAUAUAUAUAUAGUCCGGCUGGAAUACUAUCAAUAGCACCAAGCACUCGGUAGCUAUAUAUAUAGAGUCCGGCUGGAAUACUAUCAAUAGCACCAAGCACUUGGUGCUACCGAGUUUUUUGUUGUUAGAUCUACCCCUUUGACCAUAUCCACCUCUUAGAUCAUAUUAUUCCACCAACCAUCCAUUGAACCCUAGGGACCACUAUCAUCCUAACUGCACAUCCUUUCAUCCAAGAGCCUAAAACUUAAUAGCACCAUUGACUUGGUGCUAUUAAUAGUACUCUACUCUCUCUCUAUAUAUAGAGUUGAGCUGGAAUGCUAUCGGUAGCAAACUGGCUCCGUUGCCACCCAUUUAUUUUCGAUGAUGAAGCUUCCAAAUCGACGAUCGGUACCGUUGAACAUGAUUUAUAUCACUUGAAGGAUCUAGAAAUUAAAUUUCAUGCUUUUCCGAUAUUAUUCUCUUGUCCAUCAAGUGGACACAAAAAUGAACGGCUGGAAAUGAAUAUCCUAAANNNNNNNNNNNNNNNNNNNNNNNNNAGUCAAAAAUAGAAAAUAAAUAAAUACAUAAAUGUGUGUUGCUUAUAGCCAGUAUUUAGUAACAGUAGUUUUCAACAUAAUCUUUCACCCAAAAUAAGAAAAAAAAAAUCUAAAUAUUGUAUUACAGUUAAAAAAAAGUAGAAAUUAAAUUUUGGACCUCACAAGUAAAAAAUUCUAAUGUGAUAGUUUUAAUAAAACAUUCUUUGCUGUAUAACAAACUUUUACAAUUUCUUACAUACGUCGAUGCGACGAUUUGUUAUUAAUUUUUUUUCUGCUAUUAUUAUUACUAUUAUUAUUAUUUUAUAAAAAAUAUAAUUUUACAUAUCAAAAAGAGGGUGUGCAUCAUAUACACAACAUUCAAAAAAUUUGUAAAAUUAUCUAAAUUUUUAAUAUUAGAAAAAAAUAGUUGACAAGACAAGUGGACAAUUUGAGCUCUUGAAUAAAAACAAAAUACAUAUAAUAAGAUUUACACCAACUCUUUAGAAUAUAGAUUGCAUUGUUCAUAAUUAAAUAAGUUAGAGCACUGCUAUUUCUAUACUCAAAAUAUAUAAAUAAAGCUUACACACCACUCAAUCAAAGGCCCAUGAUAGGCUAUUAUUGUCUCUAAAAUUUUUUAUAAAUCCUAAGAUAUACACUUUUUGAAUGUACAUGUAGCAUUCUUUUUCAAGUAGUUAUAAAAUUAUUUGUUCUACAAAAAGAGAACUACUAAAAAUAAUUUAUUAUAAUUUAUGUUAGGAUUUAGUUAGGUUUUUAAUUAAUUUUCUAGUUGAGUAAAAAUUAAUAUUUAAAUCUAUUAGAGAUAAUUAGAAUUUAAAUAUUACUUAUAUUAUAAAUUUAAUUAAAUUAGAAUAAAUAUUUAAAUUUAUUGAAUAUAAAUAAAAUAUAAAUUUAAAUAUUUAUUGGAAUAAAAAUCCUAAUUAUAUUAGAAUUGAAGUACAUUUUGUGAAAAGAGUGCCGCAGAGAUGAGGAUUUCUUAAUGUCCAUACUAGGCAGGAGAGAGAGAGAGAGAGAGAGAGAGAGAGUGUUAAUUGCAUACACCUAGUAUUCGGGUGCGCCCCUAAUAAGUGAGUAAGCAUUUAAGAAUAUAAAAGUUGAGAGAAGGAUGAAAAAGAUUCAAAAAGAGAAUUUAGAUUGAAGCUAUUCUAUUGCAGAAGAAAAAUUAAGUGUAAUCUUUUCUUAUUUAGCAAAUCUUAUUUUAUUCGUAUAUUUUCUGUUUUUGAAUUUAUUCUUUUUUAUGAUUGUAUCGAUUUUUGCUGAAGAGACAGAUUUAUGAUAAAAAUCUGAUUCGACGUUUUCGUUGCAAAAUUCUAACAUCCGGUACCGGAUCAACAGCAGUCGAUAUCGGAAUAAGUUGCGAAUUCUCAAAAUCUGCUAUCGUACAGCGCAGCUCAAAAAGAAUAUAUAUAUAUAUAUAUAUAUAUAUAUAUAUAUGAAAGACAUUCAUGAAGGUGGUAAGUUUACCUCCUGUUGUUCCUUCUUUAGGUUGGCAUUCUCCUCCAGCAAGUGGGCAACCUCCAACUCCAACCCAUUGGUGUAAGCCUGCAUGCAAACAAAAUGAUGGGCUGUGUUCUUCUUUUGUCAUCCAUCAAAAAAAGCUCAUCAAACUCUCACCAUCAACACUCUACUUGUCUCAACAGCUUUCUAAAAUUAAUAACUGUUUAUAUAUAGUUUUUGUUCUCAAAAAAAUAAAAGAAGAAAGAAAGAAAGAAAGAAAAAACUUUAAACUUCUAAUUAAUGUUUUAAAUAAAUGACCAGAUCUUAAUUUGAAACACAACACAUGGCAGUUAAUUAAUUAGGAUCUUGAACUCUGAAAACAUACAAUGAAAAGUUAAAGGCAUUAAAUGGGGGACUUGAAAUUAAAAAGACUUUGCAAGAACAUUUUUACUCAAUAUAAAGAGCUAGCUCUUUAAUACUGUACUUAAAAGCUUAUAAUAGUAUUUAGCAAACGAAGAGCAGGAUCAAGUGCCUAUAAUUAAUACUAUUUUCGAUCUUUCCAUCAUUUAAUGCCUUUAACUUACAAAUCUACUUCCUUGGCUUCCAUACAUACAAGAAAAUUUUGAAACCAAAUAAAUUCUCAAUGAAGAACUUAUUUCGCCGUUGAGACAUGAUUAAUUUUUUAAUAAAUAAAUAAAUAAAUAAAUAUAUAUAUAUAUAUAUAUAUAUAUAUAUAAUUUAUUUUUUUUUUAUUUCGACGUAGUAGUAGCUAGUAAUGUAAAAUAACCGUUUUUCUUCAAAAGCUUAGUAGGAAAAACCUGUCUCCUGGCGCGGGAGCGGGCGGCGGACUCCCGGUUUUUGAUCAUCCUCUUAUGCCGGCGGUCGCCGCCGCUGCCGCCGGCGCAGCAGCCGUUGUCGGGGCUCUCCGGGGGCCGCUUCUUCUCGCAGAGCGAGAAGAUAUUCGGCGGCGAGUCGGCGGCCGAGAAGCCCGGCAACGGUACGACGAGCAGACCGCGCCGCAGCCGCCGGCGGCGUCGGCGCGGGAGUCGCGUUCGGAGCGAAUUGCGGAAGUCCUGCCCCGGAGAAUUGAGGUCCAGCGCCGGCGCCGGCGGCAGCCGAGCUCCUCGCGGCGAGCGGAGCGGGGCGGUUUAGGGUUCCGGCGAGGAAGUCCUGGAGGAUACGGCGCCUCUGGUGGCGUGGUGUGGUGGUGUGGUGGUGGUGGUAGUGGUGAGUGGUUGUGGAAGGGGUGGCGAGGGGUCUCAUCAUAACAUGGUGGGGGUGGGGGUGAGGGGUGGGGGUGGAGAGGGUGAUGUCCUUCCACACGUCCUCCAUGGCUCUCCUCCGCGGGGUGGUUUGGGAGGAGAACAUGGAGGAGGGAGAGGAGCUCGAGGAAGAAGAAGAAGAAGAGGACAUGGACAUAGAGGAGUUAUUAAUGUUGGUGUUGGUGUUUGGAUGAGUAAAAGAGCACCACAUGAGGAUCCAGAUCGAGUUUAUUGGGAGAGGGUUAAGAGGAGGGAGAUGGGUUUGUGUUUGGGUACUUGGGUUGAGUUGCUUACUUGCUUAGGAGAUGGGGAGCAAGAAAAGCUCAUGGAGAGUGGUGGUGGGGUAUAGUAUACACUAUACAGGGCUAAUUAAAAACAAAUUUUCUCUUUUUUUAAGAAAAAAAAGGUCUUUUCUGUCACGUUUAUAAUACACUGGCUAUUCCCGGCGCAAGUGAUAAAACUCUUGGUACCGUUUGGUUCGGAUAUAAACAAGAACUAACUAUUACAGAGAUAAGUACAAGUAUGAGAAUAAGAAAAAUAGUAUUUGAAUAAAAAUUAGGUUGUUCCCGGAGAUAAGAAUAAUUUUAAAUAGUUUUAUAUAAAAAAUGAAGAUGUUGGUGGGGAUAACCGAGAACUACUAUUUUCGGAUAAAAAAUUAACUUUUGAAUAUAAAGGGGGGAUAAGGGUCUAUUCCUAUCCCUAUCCCCUAAAACCAAAUUGAUGAUUGAUAUCUGAGAUCUCAAAUUCGAAUCAGGAUUUGAUAGUUGGUUCCCGAGAUCUCAAAUUCGAAUUCAAGUUGAUUUAUAUUUUCAGCUAUGUUUAUUUAAAAAAAAAAAUAAACGAAACAGAUAGUAUGCUAUCUAUCUAUCAAAAAAAAUAUAUAUAUAUUAUUUAAUAAUUAUUUCACCGCUAGUUAGAUUCCAUACAAAAUGUAUAUCAUAUAUGGUGCAUAUAAUAACCCGACUCACCAACAAUAAUAAUUCAUUAUAGGCUCAAAAUAUUUAAACUUCGUUAUUAUUAUAGUUUUCUAUACAUUCAAUGAUAAUUUUGUUUUCAUCCGAUAUGGAAUUAUAGGAAUGUUACAUAAUUCUUUCAUUCAAACUCUGAAAUCAACGUCAGACCAAUCACACGCACAACUGAAGAUCAUCAAGUUAUAUGCUGGUACAAUAAAGGCCUUUUUUUAGGCCAAUUUGCAUAAAAAAUUCACUAAUUUUGCGCUUUUGCAAAAGUGGGCCACCUUUUUAGUUUUUGCAGAUUCGGACCGAAUUUUCAGAAGGAUGGCCAAACUACCCUUCUGUCAAAAUGCAUAAAAAUUAUAUGCUUUAAAUGCCUAGAAAAUACAACUGUUAAGUCACUAAGUGUAAAACUUCUUGAAAUGACAACUGCUAAGUCAUAAUUACAUGUACCUUUCUCGUAAAACGAAAAACCUCAUUCAAGAGAAAAUAAAAAAAAGAAUAAUUAAUAAGAUGAAAGAGUGCAACAUCCUCUCAAAUAGUGCAACAAACUCUUCAAAAUAGUGCAAUAUCUGUAAAUGUUACACUAUUAUAAAAGGAUAUUGCACCAUUUAGAUGUGUGUUACACUCUUUCUUUUUGAAAAUUAAAUUUUAUUCCAUAUUAAAUAAAGUGUAAAAUUUUUUGAAAAUGACAACUGCUAAACCAUAAUUACAUGCAUGUACCUUUCUCGUGAAACAAGAAAUCUCAUUCAAGAGAAAA